rnacentral:rRNA from 1 species
AUUGAACGCUGGCGGCAGGCUUAACACAUGCAAGUCGAGCGGGGUGAUGGUGCUUGCACUAUCACUUAGCGGCGGACGGGUGAGUAAUACUUAGGAAUCUGCCUAUUAGUGGGGGACAACAUCUCGAAAGGGAUGCUAAUACCGCAUACGUCCUACGGGAGAAAGCUGGGGAUCACUUGUGACCUUGCGCUAAUAGAUGAGCCUAAGUCGGAUUAGCUAGUUGGUGGGGUAAAGUCCUACCAAGGCGACGAUCUGUAGCGGGUCUGAGAGGAUGAUCCGCCACACUGGGACUGAGACACGGCCCAGACUCCUACGGGAGGCAGCAGUGGGGAAUAUUGGACAAUGGGGGGAACCCUGAUCUAGCCAUGCCGCGUGUGUGAAGAAGGCCUUAUGGUUGUAAAGCACUUUAAGCGAGGAGGAGGCUCUUUUGGUUAAUACCCAAGAUGAGUGGACGUUACUCGCAGAAUAAGCACCGGCUAACUCUGUGCCAGCAGCCGCGGUAA